CAAAACCCCUUAAUUUACUGUUUUUUCCAGACCCGGCAAAUAGUUAAAACAAAAUGAAGUUUGCACGCCUAAACGUGCUAAAUAAAUAUUUUCCGCCUGCAAAAAGUUUUAGACUGAAUUUCCCAUGGAAACGUGUUCGAAUACCCAACUGUGCAACAAAGAACCAAACUUAAUUAGUGGCCUAACCAAUUUGCACUAAAAAUACUUUAUCAAGGCCCAUUUUAAAGGCUGCAGUCUGGGGAUAAAGUGCACAAUAUUUGGCUAAGCAGGCCAGGGCCAACUGUUCAUUCAUCAACCUUUAAUCAACAUUACCGCCGACAAGGAAAAUAAAACAAGAACAAGUAGGAGCCCGAAAACUACACAACAGCUAAAGGAGAACAUGGACUAACCUACAUAAAAACUUGCAAAAACAAAGGCAAAAAUAUCCAGUAAGAUGAACAAAAGCCGGGCCGAAAGCUCUUUAACGGCCUUUGUUUGCACUUAACUGUGGAGGACCAUGGACCAAGGACCCGGGUAAUAUUUUGUUGCUGCCCUGAACCUGAUGACCAGGUCAGCUCAUCAACGAUUCACAGAUUACACAGGAGCGGCCAGGAGCGGCCAGGAACGGCCAGGAGCGGCCAGGAGCGGCCAGGAGCGGCCAGGAGCGGCCAGGAGCUACCAGGACCUCCACAGACAGGACAUGAAAAAGCGUUGACUGUAAAUAAUGUUGGAUAAUUAUUUAGUUUGUCCUGCGCCCCUGCCCUUAAACUUCACGCCGCUUUACGGCGAAUCAACACAAACACCGAGGACAAGACUGCGGCUGUCAGAUUUUAUGCUUUUCGGUUCCUGAGAUAUUUUCACAUCAUAAAAAGCGGACGAGAUGAAAGUACUUGUGUGCGACGGACGGCUCUCCUUUAUUUAUUGCGCCUAUUUUGCGGUUUAGCGGUUUUAUGGCCACUUCCAGUCUUUGUUCUUCCGCCCCGCAGCCAACUGUGUAAUUAUCUGCCUUGGCUGCGACUAAUUAGCUUAGAGCCUCCGUUUGUGCGCCUUUUGUAGCCGCUCCCAGCUGCAAGUUCGGCCGAAGUACUCAUUACAGUCGGCCCAACGGCCGGAUAAAUCAGCGCCACUUUCAAAUAUGGCCCGAAAUAAGCUGGCAAGAAUUCGCACAGAGGGCCGCAUGUACAAAACCGAUCUGGGCAAGGGGCGAAAAUGUUGCGCUAAUUGAAAAUCCCUUCAAAUCCCAGACGAGCUGGCGAAACGAAAAUAGAUUGUCGCGCAUUGCGUGCGAGAGAACGCAUUUGCAUUGGGCCUGGAAAAACGGAAUGGGCAGAGUAGCCAAAUGGCCAAAGCCACUUAACACUCGCUCGCAAAAUCCAUUAAGUGCCCCGACUUUCCCCAAUUCAAUUCCAUUUUCUGCGAUUUUGUCAAGCAACAAAACACAUAGUUCUAAUUGGUUUAGACAGUACGGCAGAGCUUUUUGAACAUAUGCAAAAGUGAAAUAUAUUAAACUUAUAUUAUCAAUAUGUCAAAAAUAGCUUAAAAAUUUUAAUAAAAGCAGCUUGGCUCUCUUUAGGCUUCAAA